UUUUUCUAAAAAUUUAGAUCUUGUUGAGAAGAAAAGAAAUAUGGAAGAAUAUAUGACCAAAAGAAUGAGUUUCCUUUUCACCAUAGCCACAGAAAGUUGUUGACCUCCUUGGAUGAAAAAAGAGUCAUAAAGGAUCUAAAAAAGGGGAGAAACUGUUGGAUCCUGAGAUGGGGGAACUGCACCUAGAGUGACUACAAAGGAUCACCAGAAUUUUGUGUCAGGAUAUUUUGCUCUACCCAUCAAGUUGAUGAAGGAGGCCACUAAAGUCUGCUCUGGGUAGCAGCUGUGUGGAGACCCUGCUGGGAAGCUUGGGCUUUUUGUCCUCCACCUCCGUCUGGUUAUUAGAGUCAUGCUGUGGUAAGCGCUGAUUCAAGGCUGAAGGCCUUAUAGGAUCCCAUUGUUCAUGUCCUUCCUUUAACUGGAUGUUCUGUUUCUGUAAUUACUGCUGUUUAUGACUCAUAUCCAGAACCCUGGUGUGCCACCUCUUGCAGAUCCAUGCCAUCUUGAAGGUUCAAGAAUCCAUAGGCUAGUUGGAACAGAGGAGUAGAUGCUGAAGGAAAGAAUAAUUAUUGCUGGACUCCAAAAUAUGAGGAGAGAACUUUGCAUAACACAGAAGGUUAAAAGAUUGCAGCAACUUCUUGACAGUUUCAUUGUGGUUUGUUUUAUAUACCACUGCAUGCUGUAUGUAGAUGAAUUCCUAUUUAUCAGAGGUGAGAAGCAGAACAUGGCCUUCUGUGACUCUUCAACUUGCUCUUAUCAGACUGUAUCUGACAAUUGAAACAACAGGAAGUUUUACUGGAAGCUUUUGAUAGCUGGGGUUAAACAGAAAGCAGUGAGUAAUUCAGAAAUGUCGUAAGACCAAGCGUUGAACUUGCCCCCACCACAAUGUGGUAAGCUCCAAAAUAAAAAUAUGACAGGUAUAUAUCUAAGGCAAACCACUGGGUUUGGGGUUUUCUCCUGCUCUAUUCUCUGAAAAGUGUCCCUUGUUUGAUAUGGUAUACUGUGUUCCAGCUUAUAUAGUCCAGGUAUACAGCUAAGCCUUUCUGCAGAAAGAGGGAAUGAUGGAACAUAAUGUAGCCAUUGUUUCAUAUCAGCAAGGUGUCACUAAUAUAUUUCUAUGAACAGUUAAAAUACAAAUGAAUCCUUAUCAGGUGCUCUUUGCUGUUUGUUUACAUUAGGACCCUGACUUUUAGGGUUUAGGUUAUUCUGGAUAGAUUCACUAGUCCUGAGUCAUUCAUUUAUCAGUUCAACAAAUCUUUAUUGGAUGCUGUGCACCUGUGCCAAGUACUCAGAACUGUGGGAACCUGCUAGUCAUAGUUCCUGAUAUGUAUCUUAUAGAGAAGUUAUUGCUUUUAACCUGAAGUUCCUUUCUAAAACAGGCUUUCUCAACCAGUUCCAUAAGAAAAAUUCAGCUGUGCAGAAAGUAAUUUGUGAGUACUUUCUCAGUUCUUCCAAGGAUGUAUUUGCAGUUCUUUAAAUGGCUUUGUUGCCUACCCAUGUAGUUUUUCCUUCUGCCUUUCCAUUUCAUUUCAUUCUGAUAAACCACCCUUCUGUCCCAAACAUACAUGUGUAUAAAACAGACACUUUGCUCACACUGUUAUCAUGAGGAAGGCUAAGUUGAAAACUUCUACUUAUCUUUUUGUAAUAUUAUUAUUCAGGUAUUCAUAUUGUGCAAGUUAAUAAUGAGUUCCAUUGACUUAUGUUAAAGUUUUAAAGUAUUUCAGGCUGCAUAUUUAUACUGUAACACAGACUUUACCCUCAUUCUCUUUUCCUCUCAUUCCUGCAUAUUCUCAGCCUUUCCCCUUCUAGUUUAACUCCUCAAUUUAUAGUGAUUUGGGAUAGGAGCAAGAGACUUCCCCACACAGAAGAAGCAUCUGUCUGUGUGGAAUGACAUUGUGCAGGAUUGAAAUGUUUGGCUUUCUCAGUGUGCUACAUCUUGUCUCCAUCAGUGUGUUGUUAUGUCUGGAACCCUCAGAAUCCUUAUUUAUUCUGUGAAUGAAAGAAAAUAUUUCAAUUCUGUGUUCUACUUUUCCAUCUUAUGUGAAAAAGAACAGAUAGUUUAAUUUUUCUUUAUAUUGAUCUAUGAAUUUCUCCCAGCUCAUCUGCUUAAGCUUAAUGGAUGUAUUUGCAAGAGAAAAUGUAGAAAGGAAGAAACAUUGAUCAUUUCUAAACAAAUUCUCAAGUACUUACUGUCCAGUGGGCCCAGGGGUUUAUCAGUGAGUGCAAAAAAUGUAGGAUGGAGAAGUGGAGAGUUGUCACUGAGUAUCCAGAGGGGUUUAAGUUAUUCUUUAUUGAAAAAUGUCCCACUUUGUUCUCAAAUUUCAUUAAAAGAAGUAAAACAAUGUUAAUCACUUAUUGGAAGUGGUCACCAUAUUUUUAUCAAAACUAUUUAAGAACUCUGCUCAACUAAGUAUCAAAUAUAGCAUACUUCAAUAUAUUAGGUAGAGGAACUUUACAACAGGAAAUGAUGAAAAGAGGUGAAUCUCUAAGAUCUCAAAUACCUUGAUUUCUAUGUUAGAUUUAGACAAAUUUUUGUUGUUCAGAAUAAGUGAAAAUAAUACUGCCAAUGCAUGCUCAAGACAUUUUUUGUGUGUGUGCAUUUUAAACACAGGAAUAAACACACUUGUUAGGAAAUUAGACACUUUACCUGAAGGUUUUUAGAUAAAUUUAUUCCAAAUUAGAUCCUUUAACUGUGUCAAUUUCAAUCAAAUUUCUAUGACUUAAAACGCAAUUAUUUAAGCCUGGUUAGGGUCAUUCGCUCCAUGCAGAUGUCUUCAUCUCCUUGCUGCUUCUCUCUCAAUACCCCCUCAUCUCCUAUGCACAGGAUCCUCCCCUGUACUCCUUUUCUAUCAGGACUGGUUAGCUGUGUCAAAUACACAUCUCUCUGAGAUAUUCAGGUCACUUAGACCUCCAACAAAAUGAUAAAAUGAUACUAUGAAGAGCUUCCUAUGG